rnacentral:rRNA from 1 species
GACGAACGCUGGCGGCGUGCUUAACACAUGCAAGUCGAACGGAAAGGCCCUGCUUUUGUGGGGUGCUCGAGCGGCGAACGGGUGAGUAACACGUGAGUAACCUGCCCUUGACUUUGGGAUAACUUCAGGAAACUGGGGCUAAUACCGGAUAGGAGCUCCUGCUGCAUGGUGGGGGUUGGAAAGUUUCGGCGGUUGGGGAUGGACUCGCGGCUUAUCAGCUUGUUGGUGGGGUAGCGGCUUACCAAGGCUUUGACGGGUAGCCGGCCUGAGGGGGUGACCGGCGACGUGGGGCGGGGCGGAGCCCCAAGGCUCGGGGGGAGGGACACGGGGGGAAAUGUGGGCGGGAGGGAGGAAGACGGCGGCAGCAGCGCGGGGUGGGGGAGGAGGGCCUUGGUGUUGUAAGCUGGUGCCGCGGGUGACGGAGGGUGGGUGCAGGUAGGGAGAAAGAAAGCCCCGGGUAACUACGGGGCCGCAGCGGAGGUAAGAAACGGAAAAGCACACGUCUGACC